GGUUAAGUUAAUAAGGGCGCACGGUGGAUGCCUUGGCACUAGGAGCCGACGAAGGACGUGACAAACGACGAUAUGCCUUGGGUAGCUGUAAGUAAGCGAUGAUCCAGGGAUUUCCGAAUGGGGGAACCCAACAGGUAGUACCUGUUACCCACAUCUGUUAAGGAUGUGAGGAGGAAGACGCAGUGAACUGAAACAUCUAAGUAGCUGCAGGAAGAGAAAGCAAAAGCGAUUGCCUUAGUAGCGGCGAGCGAAACGGCAGGAGGGCAAACCGAAGAGUUUACUCUUCGGGGUUGUAGGACUGCAAUGUGGACUCAAAGAUUAUAGAAGAAUGAUUUGGGAAGAUCAGCCAAAGAGAGUAAUAGCCUCGUAUUUAAAAUAGUCUUUGUACUUAGCAGUAUCCUGAGUACGGCGGGACACGUGAAAUCCCGUCGGAAUCUGGGAGGACCAUCUCCCAACCCUAAAUACUCCCUAGUGACCGAUAGUGAACCAGUACCGUGAGGGAAAGGUGAAAA
rnacentral:rRNA from 1 species